rnacentral:tRNA from 1 species
GGGGUUAUAGCUCAGAGGUAGAGUACUCGUUCCGCAAGCGAGAGGCCAUGGGUUCGAUUCCUGUUAACUCCA